rnacentral:rRNA from 1 species
AUUGAACGCUGGCGGCAUGCUUUACGCAUGCAAGUCGAACGGUAACAGGCCGCAAGGUGCUGACGAGUGGCGAACGGGCGAGUAAUGCAUCGGAACGUGCCCAGUCGUGGGGGAUAACGCAGCGAAAGCUGCGCUAAUACCGCAUACGAUCUAUGGAGGAAAGCGGGGGACCGUAAGGCCUCGCGCGAUUGGAGCGGCUGAUGUCAGAUUAGGUAGUUGGUGGGGUAAAGGCCUACCAAGCCAACGAUCUGUAGCUGGUCUGAGAGGACGACCAGCCACACUGGGACUGAGACACGGCCCAGACUCCUACGGGAGGCAGCAGUGGGGAAUUUUGGACAAUGGGCGCAAGCCUGAUCCAGCAAUGCCGCGUGCAGGAAGAAGGCCUUCGGGUUGUAAACUGCUUUUGUACGGAACGAAACGGUCUGGGUUAAUACCCUGGGCUAAUGACGGUACCGUAAGAAUAAGCACCGGCUAACUACGUGCCAGCCGCCGCCGUAACAC